rfam:Brassica napus, WGS project CCCW01000000 data, contig: 25559
GUAAUAUAAGAUACGGUCGCUUAGCUUUUAACUAAAAAAGCUAAGAGACGUCUCUUAAAUAAGAGAUAUAAGAGACGUCUCUUAGCAUUUUUAGUUAAAAGCUAAGAUACCGUAUCUUAUAUUAC